rnacentral:rRNA from 1 species
UACGUAGGUGGCAAGCGUUGUCCGGAUUUAUUGGGUUUAAAGGGUGCGUAGGCGGCUUUGUAAGUCAGUGGUGAAAUAUGGCAGCUCAACUGUCAGGGUGCCAUUGAUACUGCAGAGCUUGAGUACAGAUGAGGUAGGCGGAAUUGACGGUGUAGCGGUGAAAUGCUUAGAUAUCGUCAAGAACACCGAUAGCGAAGGCAGCUUACUGGGCUGUAACUGACGCUGAGGCCCGAAAGUGUGGGGAUCAAACAGG